rnacentral:rRNA from 1 species
CUCCUACGGGAGGCAGCAGUGAGGAAUAUUGCGCAAUGGGCGAAAGCCUGACGCAGCAACACCGUGUGAGCGAUGAAGGCCUUAGGGUUGUAAAGCUCUGUCAAAUGGGAAGAAUUAUGACGGUACCAUUAGAGGAAGCCCCGGCUAACUCCGUGCCAGCAGCCGCGGUAAU